rnacentral:misc_RNA from 1 species
ACUAUUCUCACUGGGUUUAGUUAAUAAUAAUAGUGUAAGAAUUAUUUACAUAAAUGUUAUGUACAUACAAAAAAGAAACAACUAAAAUAUAUGAUCUCCCCAGUGUAUGACCAAACUGCACAGUUGAUUGGGAUACAUCUCAAAUUUAGCCUUACCAGGGAGGACCUAUAUUCACCUCCCCAAAGGCAAGAAAAAUAAUCCCAGAAAACCACUAUAUCGACCACCCUUCCUCAUUAGAUUCGACAUUCAUCCUCAAAACAGAAGCAGAAAAAUCUCUGGAUAGAUGGACAUUUCCAUCAAUAUCAACUUUGCUAUAUGCUGCAAGACGAUCAUCCAUCACAAUUUUGCAGAAUCCUGAUUCCUCACCUCCCAAUCUUACACCAUAAUACGUCAGAUGAUCCUUAAUACUUCUACCAGUUACUGACCUGCUACAAGAAGGGUCUUCCCCAGAAUCAUCACAGACCUUUUCAACUGUAUAAGAAAGAAGUCCAAAGCCUAGGUUAUGGAGCCACACCUCCCUAGGAAAAUGAUGAUAAGUUUUCUGAGGGAAAUAGUAAUAGUACGGGGGCAAAUGAGGAACAAUAUCAUGUUCAUGUGUGACGCGAAUUGUAUUUGGCACCCAUUUGCUAUAGUAGGACGCAAAUGCAGCAUUCCCGAUUCGAGGUUGUCCAAAUGUCAUAACUGAAACAUUCCGCGAGCCAUAAUUUACUGUGAGAUCCAAUCCACAAAAAGCAGCCAUGGCCCCUCCCAUUGAAUGUCCUGUCACCAUAAUAGGAAUGUCUCCAUACUGUUCUUUUGCACUUUCAACAGCACUUAGCACUCCAGGGCGUAAUGUUGUGUUGUGGUAAGCAGAAUAAAAUCCAUGAUGUACCAUUGCAUCUUCCAUUCCAGGAUAUUCUAUAUCAAGCUGCUUCCAGUAUAGAUCUUCAAUCCAAUUCUGUAGGCUGCUUUCCUGAGUGCCUCUGAAUGCAAUAACAAUGGCAUUAAGAUCCUGCGCCACACCUACAUAUGCCUGAAGGCAUCGUUGCACAUCAACAAUGAGCUCUAGAAUUUGAAAUCCCUUGGUUAAACCAUUACAUCUUGAGCAAGUCCAGGCAAAUAAUUCUGUCAAAUCGGACACAUAGACUGCUGAAGCAUAUUCCACCAAUAUGGUGGCAAGGGUGUGGUUGUAGAUAGCUGCAUGAUGCUUGUUCUUGGCCUUCACUUUGAAUUCUCUACCAGUUGAAACCGCAAUUAAGCAUAGAAAAAUAACCACCUUUAACCAAUUUUUUCCGUCCAUAAUCUGGAAACUUGAAGAUGCUUAACUAGGAGCUCCGUUAUCCUAUUGAAUUUUUUGUUGUUCUUUGUGAGCACCGGCGACGGCGAGCAAUGUCAACCGGCGAUGAAUGCAGAAUUUAUGGAAAAGGAUAAAACGUAGAAUGGAGAAGAGUCAAAGAUUUUUGGCAUAAAAGAAGGUGAAAUUGGGUUUGACUAUCGAUUAAUACUUUCGUGACGGUACUGGACAUCUACAGGUCACCGUGAGAGAACGCCGCCGUGCGGUGGCGUACAUAGACCGAUUGUG